GGGUCCAUAGCUCAGUGGCAGAGCAUUUGAUUGUACAUCAUGAGGUCACCGGUUUGAACCCAGUUGGGCCCU
rfam:Triticum aestivum genome assembly, contig: Triticum_aestivum_CS42_TGACv1_scaffold_530202_6DL